rnacentral:rRNA from 1 species
UACGUAGGGUGCAAGCGUUAAUCGGAAUUACUGGGCGUAAAGCGUGCGCAGGCGGCUUUGCAAGACAGAUGUGAAAUCCCCGGGCUCAACCUGGGAACUGCAUUUGCGACUGCAUGGCUGGAGUGCGGCAGAGGGGGAUGGAAUUCCGCGUGUAGCAGUGAAAUGCGUAGAUAUGCGGAGGAACACCGAUGGCGAAGGCAAUCCCCUGGGCCUGCACUGACGCUCAUGCACGAAAGCGUGGGGAGCAAACAGG